rnacentral:tRNA from 1 species
GGUUCGGUGUUGGAAUUGGUAGACAAUGCGGAUUUAAAAUCCGUUGGGCAUUAUGCCCGUGCGGGUUCAAGUCCCGCCCGAACCA